ACACACACACACACACACACACACACACACACACACACACACACCUUGGGUCCCAGGCAACCACCAUGGGAACCUUAGCCCAGUAGAGUCUCUCUCCCGCGGGAACAUCACCUGUUCUCAUAAAGUUGCAGCAUUGUUUCAAUAAUAUUGAACUUUUCUCACAGCUUUGGUAGCCUAUAUAAAUGCUUUUUUGAGGCCUUGCUCACAGUUCAUUGUGUGGCAGCACCAUGGCAUGUCGAUAUACCAUAAGUGAGGAUAUUGAUUACAUAUGUGAUCACCACACUGGUGAGGAGGAGAGAGGCCAGGAAACUGGCAGUGAGGACACUCCUGUGUCCUGCUGUCCAAAGAAAAGGAAACAUGUGCUCUGAUGACAACUCUGCACAGGGAUGCUGCUGUGAUCACCAGGGAGGACAAGAAACCCAAGAAAGCCAUCCUGGAUUACAACAAGAACAAAGGCAGAGUUGACAACCUUGAUAAGGUUACUGGCACAUACUCUUGUCAGAGGAAGACACGUUGGCCCAUGGUGGUGAUAUUCAACAUGUUAGACGUGUCAACAUACAACACAUUCGUGCUGUGGAUGGAGCUCAAUCCAAGAUGGAAGCAGGGGAAAAACAUCUGAUAGAGUGAUGAAUAUUGUAAUGUUGUUGUUCUUGUUAGUUGUUCUUUAAUGUAUUAAGACAUUGAUCUUGUAAUAUUGUGAAAUUGUUUUGGGAUAAUUUCCAUUAUACACAAAUAAAAUAUUCCGGUCACUUUUGACCGGGAACACGACUGGUGUUACUUUAUGUGACUAUAUAAAAAAAUGAAAUGGUUUCAAAACAAAUGUCCUUGGUAAAUUUGACCCAAAGUAGUCUGUGAUAAACAAUAUACUAUGUUUCAUCUGAUUAUUUUCUUAUAGUCAAAAUAAUCCAGAAAUUAUGCUUUUUAGAACUCGAAUUCAAGAUGUAUACGGUCAGAUCAGUGAGGUAUAUAGGCCAUAAAUAACAAAUAGAAGUUCAAAACUUGUAAUGUUCACAAGAACUGAAGUUGAUAAAAAGAUCUAACACAACAAAUAGUGAUAAUUAUGUAUUUUUACAGUUUUUAUGAUGAGUUUAAAUGGAACGGUCAUUUUCGACCGGCAACACAAAAUUGUUUAACAUGAAACGAACACAACAUGAGGGUUAAAAACAGAAGCAGUGCACAGAAACUGUUGCUGGUAAUUUGUGUUGUGGUGUUACUUAACAACACUCUUACUUUGCCCUCAGGAAUAAAGACAGAUCAUCAUCUAAUUAUCAGACCUACCCCGAAAUAGAAAGUGAAGGGUUCACUGAGAAUCCAUGAUCUGCUCCUCUUCGGUGAUUUAUCUCACUGCAGCGUAUCUGCGAACCAGGAGCUCAUACCAUGCUGCCAUUCAGCAUGCAAAUCUCCUCAGCACAAGAGUCUACAUGUUUUAUCUGAUAUACUGAAACGCAAGGGCUCAGAGUGCUUUGUGUGUGUAUGUGUGUGUGUACUGUAAUAAAAGGCAUUUUUAUCAGUUCUUAUGAAAGUGCCAUAAAAUGACUCCAUAUAGCUUGUUCAGCAAAAUCCAAGUCUCCACAAGACCUGAGAUCACAAAUUGAUUUGAUGUUACCACCAGUGAUGAGCAGUCAAGCUCAUGCUCGAACUUCAGACAGGUUGCGGGUUAAAAAAAGGUGUAAAGGACAUCUCCUCAAGUCAAUUAAGGAUCUUUGGGCUUCUAGGGAUUUUUUAUGGGGUUUUUAAGGUUGUUCCUUAAAACACCCUGCUUUCCAUCAGCAUGAGGCUGAGAAGAUAAUGACUGAAUUUUUGGUUUGAACUCAUCCUUUAAAAGAGGUCGCUGACUCUGCAAGCCACAGCUCCUCUGGCAGGACACUUCAGCGCUCUGACUGCAAAAGCCCCGCCACCUUUUGUCUCGAGCCGGGUCUCAGGAACAGUCAUUAAAGCCCUGGCCCAGGAUCUGAGGCUGCGCCCUGGCUCACAGGGAUGCAGCAACUCAGCAGUGUAGCUGGGAGCUUAACUGUGAAGUGCGUUAAGUCAAAUCUGACAAUCAAUGCUAAAUCUGAGCGGCAACCAGUGAAGAGAGGCUAAGUCUUCUAUUAUGAAAAGUUUAAAGCUGAACAGUUGUGUUUCGUAAGCUGAAAGCAUGGGAUCACUGAAUAAAAUGUAGCACAAUAAUCUAACCAAGAUGAAAUAAAGGCAUGGAUGGCAUAACUAGUCUCAUAUCACGCCUACAUUCAAAUAUCUGUGGGAUGUGGGAGGUUAAGCAAACUCUGAUUUCUUAACAGCAGUCUGUUACUGACUUUCAGAGGAGGAACAAAGAAGUCAGUCUGCCAUCAUGGGUAAAUCUAUGUUGGAUUGCCCCCAACACUUUUACAGAAAACUGAUACUCUUCUUCUAAACUGCUUUAUUUUAACCAGUUUUUACCACCUGAACUGCUAUGUCUUCACUCAGGAAGGAAAAACGUGUCUGCUCGUGAGGUAUCUAUCAAACGAGUUUUUGGGAAAAAGGAACAAUCACAAUGGAAACAAAUGAAGUGAAAAUGACAACAGCCUCACAGCUGAUUUAUGAGAGACGCGCUCCAUUUCCUGGAAGCAUUUGUUAGUGUCAAACAUUGAAGUCAGUUGGCAUCAAAAUAGUACAUCAAAACAACAGUGCAGCUUUGACUAAGAAUUUUUAAAUAACCCAAGACAAAACACAGACUGAAGAAGUAAAA